rnacentral:lncRNA from 1 species
UAGGGAAAUGCUCUAUGAGAUGAUCCAUCUUAGCUCCUGGAGGGGAAAUUGUUGAACUUAAAGUAGAGAUCAACAAGAAAUGAAAAUGGCUCGCAUGUCUGGUAGAUAGAUUUGGAGAUGCAUCGGGCUAGAAUUUUAAAGGGAAGUCGGAAGAUUCUUAACGACGAAGGUAAUUUUAUCAAUAGAAAGAAUAUAACUCUAUAGUAAUAAGAAGUUUCAUUGAAGAUAUGCUGAAAUAUAUAUUCCAGU